AGUUUAUUAUCUCUUCACAUCUUUUCCAGUAUGAAAAUAACAAUAUUGAAAAUAAAUAAGAAUGUGAACUUCAUUGUAAUUCUGUUUUUACCACUUAAUGUACCACAUCACUAUGAAGACGUCAUUACAUAUAUUCGGAUGCUUUUUACCGUGUCACCAACAUCCACUGCUGCUCAUUUCUGGCAUUUUAAAUGUUCUUUUUGGUAAAAUUCACAAACAUCAUAGGCAUUGUAACUCCACUUCUUACUUAAAACACAACACCGUUAAAAAGUGUGUAAUCUCCUGCCACCAAAGCUUGAUUGUCUCCAGUUAUGUCUGAGAGGACUGCUCUAUGUGUUUGAACCUUCAUGUUUUUAGAAAGUUCUCUUUAUAAACAGCUGUGAUUUUGUGUGAAAGGUUUGCUCUGUAGAUAGAGAACUGUAGAGGAUUGAACCAGAUAGACAAUUGAAAGUGCAGAAGAAUCCCUCUGGGCAUUAGUUCAAUAAGAACUGGAAUAAACAGGAAAUAUGCUUAACACAUGUCAAUUACUUGAGUGAUUUUGCCUGUUAUUCCUGUGCAUUUCGGCCUUUCGUGUGUCAUUUGUUGGCGAAGCCUUUUUAGAGGCAACUUCUUUACGAGUAAAGUGACACAAAGAGCAUGAAAGUCUGCAUAGAGAGGAUGGACGGGUCGAACUGCAGGACUUUCUCAGGAGACAGUUCUUAUGCAAAUCCCCAACUCAAUCAGAGUUAAUACCGUUGACUACUUACCUAUGCAUAACUUCAUUUAAGUACAAACAUUUUGACACAAACCAUGAUUUUUUUUCUAAACCUGAACAAUUAGUUUGGUUGCCUCAGCAUAACCAUGUAGUUUUCUUUGAAUUAACAGCAUUAAUGUGUUUCAAACUGGUGAUAUGAGAUGAGCUGGGACUGGGGCUUUACAUGACAUGCUAAAAGCUUAAAAUGCGUGAAAUGACACCAAAAUGCCCUUUGAAGCAGCGUGAUAAUUAAACACCUUCCCGUGAGAUAGCUUUGGACAACAAAUUAUUCCCCCAUCAUGCCACACUGUCGGGAAAUUGAUUAAAAUAUAAGUUUGAAAAUGUUAAUUCUUCUUCUUUGACCAAAAACGAUUUGAAAUGUCAGUAACACAUUUGGCAUCCACAUUAUACUGUUAUUAAAAUAGACAUUAUGUAAAGAAAAUACGACAGCUUAAUUAAAAACAUUUCAUCCGUAGUGUAAUUUGGCGUUAUAUUACCCCCAUAUACUGUACAUCCAAUUACUCAUGAUGCAUUAUGCAGCUUCACUACUCAGCUGAUCAACACUAGAAAAAGACACAUCACAGCAGCAUGUGAGUUCCUGUUACCUUAAACAUUUUUGACAUUUCAUCAGAACCAGAGCUCACAAUUCUAUUGGGUAUUAGUGCCAUUGUAGGUAAACAUGUUUUAUUAUGGAGCCUUGAGAUGGGGGUAUCAUGAGAAUUGCGAUAAUACAGAAGAAGACAACACAAAAACGUCAAUAUAAAAGAAAUCCCUUAAAGAAAGAUGUGUACAAUUUUGGGCUAUGAAAUUAAAAUAUAAACAACUUAGCUUAACUAUUUUCUUGGAAACUGAAUGUAAUAUUCAGGGUAAAAAGUCAGAUUUUUCCUAAUUUAAAUUCUUAUUGUUUUUGAAAAUCUUCAUUCCCAGAGAAUUUAACAGAAAUGUUACAUUGUUUUAUUUUAGCAUUACCCCAAUCCAAUAUUAUUCAAUUAUAAAAAUGAACAAUGGUCCUAAUAUGCCAUGCACUUAACUUGAAAAGGAAAACAAAAAGAUGAUGUUCAAAUACAAUUUGACACAAACAGCAUUUGAUAAAAAUGCACAGGUGCUAGGCAUACUGGUAUAGUAGGAAUGUGGACUGUGACUUGCUGAUCACAUGGAUGAAUGUGCCCAUAUGAUUCACAGUGUGUGGUUUGUGUUUUUUUGGUUUAUAUUUGUGUCUUUAACCCCCUGUUUAUAUUAUAUUUAUAUAUGUACAAUCAAUCGGUAAACAGAGAUACUGUGUAGCUUGUUCCCAUCAUGCUUCAAGUCAACCCAACCCAACACCACGGAACGUCAUUUGAUGAGAUACAAGAAUACAAGAAUGAACUUCUUCCUGGUAAACUAAGCUGUAUAUCACUGGUUUGCUGGUAGAGAGGAAACAAUAAUAAGUCUCUUUAUUCAGCUGAAGAGUUUUGUUCCAAAAUAUCAUUCGAAGUCCAUUCUUGAUCUUAUAGGAAAUAAUAAAAAAACAGUGACAUUUUUACUGUUACAGAAUUACUGUUGUAUUGAUGUAGGUUAAGUUAAUGUUGAACUUAGUUUAUUAUCAUUAUUGAACCAUAAAACCUUUAAAUAUAAUAAAUAAAAUACUUGCCGAUACAUUUUCUAACAAUCAAGUAUUUAUUUGUACUUAAUAUAUAAAUAUAAAAUAUAUUAUAAACUGCUUAACAUAACAUCAUACUUAAAAGACUCUUCAUAAUCUCAUAAAAAAAGUACCUGAAAUUCAGUACUUGAGUAAUUGUCAAGAAUCCACCAUGAUUUUUGUACAUCAGAGUAAGACAGGCUAACUAUUCCCCCUGCUUCCAGUCUUUAUGCUAAGCUAGGCUAAUUACUUCCUGCCUCUGAUUUUUCUUCAUUGUCAAUGUAUUAUUUUAGAACAAAGCUCUUCAGGUAUAAAAUGAUGGAAUGCGUUCAACGUCCUGGAACAAUUAUAAAAGUAGCAUAAUUGCACUGAACAGAGGAUUGAAGCACAACACCAAAUCAACAAACACCAUGACCAGACAAUUGUUUGUGACAACAGAAUAAAAAAUAAAGAAAAUAAAUUCAUUUGAAUAACUUUAAGUCCAGUGUCCGCAGGCCUGGAAUCCAGUUCAGUGCAGUCCAAGCGGCCAAAGCUCUGAGUUUUCACAGAUAGCGAAACAAAUAAAUAAAAGUAUGCAAGCAGGAAUACAACAGAGACUUUCUAUGGCAGGCAAACAUUAACGAAUAUGGAGUGCACACCCUGAUUCAAAGUCACCCAGCUUGGUCACGUGCAUCACUUGAUCCACUAACCUCUUGUUUUUCUAAAGUCUGCAGUGUCCUUUUUCUCCGUCCUCAUCCAUUUUCACGUCUGUGUAAUGUCCCUCCGGAGGUUUAGGAGACUGAUGCAGUCCCUCUCUGUGGCCCUGCCCCAGCUCACAAAGUGGUUCAGUGUAUUCCAGUGAUGUGGCAGAAAAGGAUGACGACAGCUCAAAAAACUGUAUCCAGGUCGGCGCCGGCCUUCUGUCUCAUAGCGACGAGGACUGCUUAAUGCUGUGAAAGCUGACCCGUGAAGGGGAGGUGGGGAUGGACAUGGCCUGGGUCAUCCGGGCCCGGAUGGAGUGCUGCUCCUGCCACCGGUGGAACCGCUUUCUCACAGCCGACCGCACCUGGCUGUUUAUGAAGCA